UAAACUCUGACUCCUACCAUCUACACACAUAGUGACUGUUCCAGAGUGGCCCAGGUAGGCUGUGCAGUAGUUUAAAACAGAGGGAAGUAUUUGUGUCUAAAACUAACCUUAACCUGUGCUGUCUCACUUGUAGCAGAAGCCUGGUUUUGUCUGGUUUUGCUCGAAAGUGACUGGUUAUCUCGAAUGGUUGAUGAUCGUGUGCUUUAGCAAGUUCUCUCUCGUCUCUGCACUGGAGAACGUCAAGCUGUUGAAAUGAUGGGGAGGUUUUUGUUUUUGUUUUUGUUUUUUAAAGGCUCUGCAUUGAGGUGUGGAGGACACUAGAAAUGAUGCCCUGGGCCUAGACUGCCUCCUGGGUUUUUGAGCUGCUCUGACAGCUUCUGUUCCUGUUGACUUAGAAGUCUGCUUGACACAGAGCCUGAUUUGUUUUGACUCUCAUGUCUUGGGCAGGACUUGUUAGUUAAAAAUAGGUUAUUCCUUGCAAAUUUAGGACUUAAGUUUUAUGCCCAGUUCAUACAAUGACCUGUCAACCUCCCCUGCUCCCUUCUUUCCUUUAACUUGACCGCUUGGCUCCAAAUGGCAAUCUCACCUAGACUUUAUUAUAGGGUACUGGUUGGUCUAAGGUGGCUGUGUCUAUUUUAAAAUUAUGAGUAAAUGAUAUAUUCCUCUUUUUUUUAAUACUGUGAACAAAGAAUUGGGAGAUAGAACAGUUAACAUGUUGGGCUGGGAAGGGACAAAGUAUUAGAUAGGAACAGAGGGUGUCCAUUCCCUUCAGUCAGCAUAAUAACCUUCCUGUGUAAAAUGCCAAAUGUAUGGUUAUGUUACUUUAAAUGACUGAACUGGAAUUUUAUAGCAAUUAGUACUCUAUGCAAUCUUGUCAUCUUAGCCAAAACUGGAAGAGAAAAUAAGCUAAAAAGUUGAUUUUACACACACACACACCGUGUUAUGCAGAGUUAAAAAGCUGCAUGUGAAUAUUAUCUUAGUAGCCAAGACUGUCAUUUAGGUCUGUGGGGAGGCUGUUCGCUUGCUUCAUAGAUAUGUGUACACACACACUCAUAAGCUUUGUCCCAGCAGGAAGAGUCAGCGAAUCCAUGAAUUGUUUACUUUCUGAUUCCAAAUUGGUUUCUUACUUUUCUGUGGUCAGGUUUAAUUAACCUAGACAGCUCAGCAGAGCAGACAUCGCAAGCGUGGAUGUGUGUAUGUGUAGAUGUGUGUAUAUUUUAAGAUGUAGUACUUACAAAUCAGUUAACUCUGGGUGCAAAUAUUGAACUUCACAUUUUUUUAUUUUUCUUCUAGAUGAAGUAAAAAACUCCUAGGGAAAGGCUCCAAUAGUUCAAACCUCAGCAUAGUGACUUUGCGUUUUUCCCUGCACACCACAGACUCAUAUGCAGGUCUCUAACCAGAUCUGUGCUCAUGUGAACCUUGCACUCAUGUGAACUGUGUAUAUAUAGGGACACUUUCAGAAACUGGGCCCAACACACAUGAGAGUGGCAUAAAGUGUCUGCUCUUCUGCCUGCUUUACAGUAACAUCUCUGCAAACACACAAAAACAGAUCUCUGCCUUCAAACACCUUUGUAAUGCAUUACUUAAGAUUCUGUCUAUAUUGUCUUAUCAUCUGGAGAACUAUUUUAUUGAAAACCUCUAGUUUCUUGGCCACAGGAGUUUUGUAACAGAGGUACUCUGUAUGUUGCCACAGUAGACUUGAUGGUUGCUUUAGUUACUAGAUCUGAGCAGUCUCUCAUUUGUACACGAUUGUAAAUUGCGUCCUUUCCAUGAGUGCUGUGUACCUAAGGUCUGGAGGUUGUAAUUAGGUGUUCCCAUAUGAAUAAACAUUUUAGUAACAGUGGACUUAAAAGUUACAGAUAGGAGAUAGUCCUCAAGCCUGAGAGGAAGCUGGAUGAGGGUCAGUAGUCACGAUCCAGGUGUGUCCAGCCAGAUCAAGAACAAAGGACGGUUGUCUGAACUACUCAGCUGGAAUAAAGAGUGGGCAAGGAGGAGACCAUUGUAGUGUGUGUACCUGUCCCCAUGCUUCCUUUCCUCUUCACGGUUCCUCCUCACCCUCCCUGGCCCUUUGGUGGGGGUUCUUCAUGGCUGGGGGUGGGCUGGAACAGAAGUGAGGUUCCUGCACUUUGCUGAUUGAGCCGCUCCCAGGUUUGCUGGCAGCUUUGGCCACGUUGUGAGGUGGCUGUUUUCCUUGUGUUCAGAGUGACUUGAGUUCUGAGGAUUGAUGUUUGUGUGGAACGGCGCUUUGUCUGUGUUUUAGCAGAGCUGUUCCUCUCAUCCUUUAAGAUUUUUCCCCCUGGUUUUGUUUUCUUUUUAAAUUAUACAAAUGACUUUUUUUUGGUAUGUGUGUGAGAAAGACAUUAAAGCCUUUAUUAACCUCA
rnacentral:lncRNA from 1 species